rnacentral:rRNA from 1 species
CAAUAGCGUAUAUUUAAGUUGUUGCAGUUAAAAAGCUCGUAGUUGGAUUUUGGGUCGGGGGCACCGGUCCGCCGUUCCGGUGUGCACUGGUGGCCCCUUCCUUUCUGCCGGGGACGUGCGUCGCACUUAAUUGGGUGGCGUUCGGAGUCGGCGUUGUUACUUUGAAAAAAUUAGAGUGUUCAAAGCAAGCCAUCGCUCUGAAUACAUUAGCAUGGAAUAACAUGAUAGGACUCCGGUCUUAUUUUGUUGGUUUCCGAGACUGGAGUAAUGAUUAAGAGGGACAGUCGGGGGCAUCCGUAUUUCAUUGUCAGAGGUGAAAUUCUUGGAUUUAUGGAAGACGAACUUCUGCGAAAGCAUUUGCCAAGGAUGUUUUCAUUAA